GACAGAGGGUGCAAACGUUGUUCGGAAUUACUGGGCGUAAAGCGCGUGUAGGCGGCUAAGUAAGUCGGGCGUGAAAUCCCACGGCUCAACCGUGGAAGUGCACUCGAAACUGCAUAGCUAGAGUCCUGGAGAGGAAGGUGGAAUGCUUGGUGUAGAGGUGAAAUUCGUAGAUAUCAAGCGGAACACCGGUGGCGAAGGCGGCCUUACUGGACAGUGACUGACGCUGAGACGCGAAAGCGUGGGGAGCAAACAGGG
rnacentral:rRNA from 1 species